rnacentral:tRNA from 1 species
GCCUUCGUGGUGUAAUGGUAGUGCACUUGGCACGUAUUCGAGAGGUCCAGGUUCAAGUCCCGACGAAGGCA